AUGAACGCUAGCUACAGGCUUCACACAUGCAAGUCGCGGGGCAGCGGGAUUGAAGCUUGCUUCAAUUGCCGGCGACCGGCGCACGGGUGAGUAACGCGUAUCCAACCUUCCGUACACUCAGGGAUAGCCUUUCGAAAGAAAGAUUAAUACCUGAUGGUAUGAUGAGAUUGCAUGAUAUCAUCAUUAAAGAUUUAUCGGUGUACGAUGGGGAUGCGUUCCAUUAGGUAGUAGGCGGGGUAACGGCCCACCUAGCCAACGAUGGAUAGGGGUUCUGAGAGGAAGGUCCCCCACAUUGGAACUGAGACACGGUCCAAACUCCUACGGGAGGCAGCAGUGAGGAAUAUUGGUCAAUGGACGAGAGUCUGAACCAGCCAAGUAGCGUGAAGGAUGAAGGUCCUACGGAUUGUAAACUUCUUUUAUAAGGGAAUAAACCCUCCCACGUGUGGGAGCUUGUAUGUACCUUAUGAAUAAGCAUCGGCUAACUCCGUG
rnacentral:rRNA from 1 species